rnacentral:tRNA from 1 species
GCCGACGUGGUGGAAUUGGUAGACACGCCAUCUUGAGGGGGUGGUGGCCUUAGGCCGUGCCGGUUCGAUUCCGGCCGUCGGCACCA